rnacentral:tmRNA from 1 species
GGGGGCGACCUGGCUUCGACGCGGGUUGCGAAACCGGAGGUGCAUGCCGAGAAGGAGAUCUCUCGUAAAUAAGACUCAGUAAAUAUAAAUGCAAACGAUGAAAACUUUGCUGGUGAAGCUAUCGCUGCGUAAGCUUUGAUAGUGUAACCUACCGUGUGCUGCCAAAAACCAGCACCCCGUUCGACCGAGCCCGCUUAUCGGUAUCGAAUCAACGGUCAUAAGAGAUAAGCUAGCAAUCCCGCCCGUCUCGAGCGAGCUUGCGAAAUUCAGAGAAUCGCUGUGUCUAAUCCUGCCUGUCGGAGGAGCCACAGUUAAAACCAAUCGACAAGGCUAAGCAUGUAGAACUAAAGGCAGAGGAUUUGCGGACGCGGGUUCGAUUCCCGCCGCCUCCACCA